rnacentral:lncRNA from 1 species
CCUCUGAUGGAUUAUUUUCCCUCUUCAAACUUCGAUGAGUUAGGGAUGACCUCUGAUAUAGCCUUUGGUAGCCAAAAUCCAGGUCGUUCGAUAGAGGCUGCACGAUCAAGUACCAAUGGAUCCCGCAAUGUGAUCUGAAUGCCAUCAUAUGUCCACAACUCUAGCUAAGCCAGCAACCGCAACAUCCAUGUUCUUGACAUUCCAGCUCGUUCCACGUGCUUUUACUUCCUGCUUUGGCCAUUGUCCUAAUUUAGAAACUCGCUCCAUAGAAAUCAGAGGCGGAAGAUAAGAAAAAAAAAAAAAGGAACAAUUAGAGGAUUUUAUUUACACAUACGGCACUAUGACAUCUGCUAUUGGCUAACUUGCAACAUGUUGUUAGUUGUUAACUUGUUUUUGCAACUACGACUUCUCUUUAGCAAAGAAUACUAUCUCACCUUUCAUUGUACUUCUCUCAAAUCUAUAUGUUGAUAUUCAACAAAAAACAUAAUACUCAUGUAGUUCAAGUGGAAUUGGCUAUAAAGUAGGAAAUAUUAUUGAAUCAGAAAUAGUGCAGGAAUUGGAGUAUAACCUGCAAUCUCACUCCAGCAUGGUUUUCUGUCUUUACUAGAUGAAGAGACACACUAGGUGAUGCCCAGACAGUGAUGUAGAUUGUUUCAACUGAGGCUUGAACUAGAUCCAGUCUAACUAUAUGUACAGUCUGCCCAUGCUGCAAGAAAAUGGUGAAAAUUGCAUUUUAGAGUCGAAAAGUCAUUUUUGCAGCCUUACCCUGCAUUUAAGGAAGAGGCUGUUUUCACAACUCGAACCCAUGACCUCCUAGUCACAUGGAAGCAACUUUAUAGUUACGUCAAAGCUCCCCUUCAGUAGACAAGUAAGAAAAGAUGUCCUCCAGUGGAAAAGGAAAACCAAAUAUAUCAGUCCCUCCCUUAACCAAUUGAGACUUGAUCUGGUUAAAUAUUAUGAAAAUAUUUUCUUUUCUCUUCAAGUGACAAUUUCUUCUCCUGUUUCCCCCAAAUAUUAUUUAACACGUACGCUAUUUAUAAAAUAAAAAUGAACAAAGUUAUGUAUAGGUACCUUUGCUAUUACCGAAGAAAACUUGCCAUAUGCUUGCCAAGAUCCAUCUCAUUUAAUUUCUCUUCAACAUCUUUCAUUCUCUCUGGAGUCUCCUUCAGCUCUGAACAGUGAUGGAUACCAAGACCUUUAAUGAGAGGCAUUGCACUUGUGCCUAAAUGCCAUCUUUCUAGGUUCCGAAGUUUUAUAAGAUGAAGGAACUCGAGUUGACUGAAGCUGUUAUCACUGCACAUUAUUUCUUUUCCUUCAUAAGCAUCUUCUAAUAUGAGAUUCCUUAGGUUUGGCAACAUUCCCAAAGUAGGCAUCGGAUCUUCCAUGAAUUUUGACUUCCUAAGAACCAUCAUUGUGAUGGAAUUUGGAAACAGAGGCAGUUUCUCUAUUUUCCCAUGUAAGCACAAUUUCUGGAGCUUUUGACAAGAAUUAACAAAUUCCAGGGAUGGGAAUGAUUCAAAACGUUCACAAAACAAUCUGAGAGUGCUAAGGUUUUUCAAGAUGCUAAUGUUGUUUAAGGAGUAAGAUUUCUUAAUACGUUGCAUGCUUAAUUCUCCAAGAUUGACUAAAUCAACAGGGUCAACAUCUAUCCACUGAUCACAACAAACGCCUUGAAGAACUUGAAGACUAGUGAGUUUGCUUAUAAGUUUCAGAGGUUUUGAAUACGAAGCAACUAAAUGUCUUAGAUUUAUCAGGUCAGCUGUCACGCGGGGUAGUCUGCAAGAGUAUAGCCCCUCAUUGACAAUAAGUGUCUGUAGAUUCUUGAGGUUGCCAAUGGAAGAUGGAAGAUCAUGGAUACCUCUCAAUCUUAAGAACUUGAGGUGGUACAAACUUCCUAUGGCAUCAGGUACUGAUGCAGAAUGCCUAUUGUAAACAGGCAUAUCCAAGUACAACACAUAUAGAUGCUGGAAAACACUCCUGAAUUUUAUAAGACUCAUCUUAUGAAAAUCUGGAUCAAAGAACAUAAUUGACCUCAACUUUAAGUUAGAAAGAUCAAGUGAGAGGUACCUUACUCCUUGACUAUGAAUGCCAUGUCUGAUACAUAAAGAGGAUAUGGAGUGGUUCUUUGGAUCAUAAAUGUCAAAGAAGUUCACCUCCAAUGCCUUUUGUAUCACAAGAUCACGAAGUAAAUCAUGAACCCUACAAUGAGUAACUUUUUCCCAAAAUGUGUCUACCACUUGAACCAAGCUUCUUCUUAUCAGCUCAUUCAAGAAGCCUUCAGCCACAUCCUCCAUUCUUUCUUCUCCAUUUGGUACGAAACCCUCAGCCAUCCACAACCUUAUUAUGUUAUCAGCCUCGAGAACUUGAUCUUCUGGAAAAAUACCAAAGUACAGAAAACACUGCUUGAGCACAGUUGACAAAAUCAUUGUAGCUUAAGGAUAGAAUGCAGGAGAUUUCAAUAAAUUUAUCUUCAAUAAUGUUCUUCCAAAGUUGAUCUUUCACUUCUUGCCAUUUGUCCACCCCCCUCUAUGCGAAAGUAGUCCACUCAAUACAACAAUUGCAAGAGGUAAGCCUCUACACUUUUCCACCAUAUCCUUAGCUAGACUUUCCAUUGCUGGAACCAUUGCUCGAACAUCAAGUAGUUUCCUACAAAAGAGAUCCCAACUUUCUUCUUGGCUUAGGAAACGAAGUUUAUGGAUAAAACCUCUGUUGUCUGCUCUUUCAGCGACAUCCUCUUUGCGCGUGGUAAUAAUAACUCUGCUGCCAUUCUUGCUAUCCGGGAAUGCUCUUUUCAAACUUUCCCAUGCUUCUCUCUGCCAUACAUCAUCAACCACCACAAGGUAUUUGCGUUCUUUUAAUAGAUCACGAAGAUAAAUUUCUAGAUCUCCUUCUGUCAUCCUUUCCAACAAAUCUAGAGUUUCGUUGGUGCGCCCUUGGAUGGAUUUUAUGAUAUUCCUGAAAAGAUCCAUGGUGUUGUACUCUUGAGAAACACAUAUCCAAGAGCGUGUAGGGAAACUAGAGGCUAUAUUAGGAUUUUUGUAGAGGUUUCUUGCAAGAGUGGUCUUGCCUAAUCCGCCCAUUCCAUAAAUGGAGACGACGCUUCAACGAGGCGCUGCUUUGAGAAGUUCAGAUAGCAAUGUUUGUACAACAUCCUGAAGUCCAACAAAAAUGUAAUCCUGGUCAUCCACAUAUGAGGUAGUUCUCCUCAAUGUUCUGACCUGAUUACUUGGCCCUUCUCCAGCAUUACUAUUGAUAUUUGUAAUACCAUAAGUCUCUCGUUUGCGAGAGAUAUCUAUGAUUCGCUGCUUGAGUGAUUGAAUCUCCUCGGCGACAUUGUAGAAUUUCUUCUCCUUCCUGUAUAUGCAAGCGCAAGCCUUGAGACAACUAACACCUUUACCAGCCUCAAAGCUGUAAGUCUCGAGUAUAGCGACAGCAUCAUUAGCAAUAGUGUUGAUUUCAAGCACCCAUUGUUGAACUCUAUGAUCUACACAUUGCUUUAGUUCUGCAUCUUUGAGGAAAGACUGUAUGAAGCGUAACUCAUUUCUCAGCCAUGUAACUUCAUCUCUCAGACUUGUUAUCAGUGAAAUUUGUUGAAUGAGGAAAUCACCCAAUUUUUGAACUGCAAAUGACACAAAGGCAUCAGCCAUCUUUAUGGUUGAAAAAAAGAAGAGAUGACUAUUGGAAAUCAAUAUUUUUUGAAAAAAGGUAGUGUGUAUGGAAAUUAAUAUUGGAAGCAGUAGAUUGAGAGAUGAAUAAUAUUGUUAUGAUGGAAUAAAUUAUUGAGAGUUUGAUAAGUGAUGAAUAUUGUUAACAUGGAAUUCAGUAUUUAAAGCUUAAAAAAUCCGACAGAGGAAAAAGUCUAAAAGUAGAAAGAUGAUAGAGUUUGAGGUUGAUGGUAAAGAAAGAAAAGUAUAUAUUCUCUACUAACUGCAAGCCAAGAAUUUAAAAUUGCAUGACACAAGUUAUGCUCAGUGUAGUGGUGAAGCCAAAAGUUGCCAUUCAAGAUUUAGUAUAUAUGUAUGAAAAAUAAGUUUUAACUUUUGUAUAAUUUUUUAUAUACAUAGUAUAAUUUUUCGACGAAAAAUGUCUGAUUGAACACCCUAAGCUAUAUGUGGCUACGCCACUGCUUCAUUGGCACAAGUUGUGUGUUUAGACAAGAACUUAUGUCCCAAGGCACAAGUCCCCCAGAGCAAACAACAACAACAAGUAGGGUCUGGAGAGGGCAAAAUGUAUGCAGACCGUACCACUACCUCGUGGAGGUAAAGGUUGUUUCAAAAAGGCCCUCGGCAAUAAGUCCCCUGGGUCAAAUAUCACGAUAUUUCUGUACUUUAUACUUUACUUAAAAAGACAUAGUAUCAUAUUAGAUCAAAUUUUAUUAUUCAGAAGAGUUGGUUUAAUUGUUCCUCCACCUAAAUCACUUUUUGCUAAUUAAUUUCAUCUUUAAAUUAUAGAUACCUUUCUUUUCUUUUUAACUAUCCUUGUUAGGGGAAUCUAUAGGAAAAAAUAUGAUGAACAUGACUUCUCAAUUUGAAGAUGCGUUUUGUAACUUUGAAGAGAAGAAAUAAAAUAUUUGAAUUCAGUCUCGGAGGUUAUUCCAAAAAGAUUUUGUAAGAGCUUGAAGGUCAAUAUCUCAAAAUUGAUUUGCUGAAAAAGAAUUUUGUUUCGAAUUGGUGAUUUUUCAAAAGAACUGAUGAAACAUCGAUGAGACUAAUAAUAUAAAAUUUGAGAUUAUUUGGGUAACAUUUGAAUUAGCUUUAGACUGAAUUUUUAAUUAUAGUUCGUUGAAAUUCAAAAUUACCGUCGAAUUAUAUCAAAAAUCAUAUGAUAAUCAUAUAGUGACGGAUGCAUUAUAUGUAAAUUGUUUUUUAAGUUUGGUAUUUUAUUGUAGUUGUAUUGUUUUCGGUCUCCCACUCGGUGUCCGAUACCCGCUAGAGCUCGACUAUCUCGAAUUCGCGCCGUGUAGAGCCAUUUGAGGGGAAGCGCUCUCUAACAAGUAAAUUCCACAGUACUCUUUAAUAUAAUUUUAUUUUAUUUUUUACUAAUUAAUUCAAAGAAGUAGAAUACUCUAUGGUUAAUUUUUGCAUAAAAAUUAGGAAAAAAACAUCUCAGAAAGUUACUUAGUUAUAACAAGCAACAAACAGUUUUGUGAACUAAUAGCCCACCAAUAAGCUCUUUAACAUAAGUAAUUUAUGUAGGGAAACUUUCGCAUAUAGCCACUAAUUAUAAAAAUAGCUUAAUUAUGUAUAUUGCCACUAAAAAUAGCUUAAUUAUACAUAUUGCCACUAAAAAUAGCUUAAUUAUGCAUAUAGCCACUAAAAACAAGUUAUACCAAAAUCAUGGAAUAUUUAAGUUGCAUUGAUGGAGAGACCAAUAGAGAUGGACAAAUCUAUUUAAACAACAUGUGAAACUCAAAACAAAUAGAAGAUAGGAAGAUAUACAAUAAUAGAGAGGCUAGAUACAUAUGGAUUCAAUUUUGAAAAUGAAAAUUCUAACCACAUUCCUUAUAAUUGGAAUAUUUUUGUUUGAUAGUUUUGUGAGAAGUGAACCAAAUACCAAAGAGAUUAGCCAUAUUUGCAAUGGGAAUGUGUAUGAUAAGACUUAAGAGUGGCCCAUUUGCACUAAGUUUGGCUUAUGCUGUUGAAGCAUUACAAAAUGUGACACUAAAUCAAGGUUAUGAUUACUUCAUAACAUCUCCUUAUCCUAAUGAUGCUUUAGCUUAUGGCCAUGCUACUUAGCUUGCAACUCCAUUAUUGAAUUUUCAGAUUGUGGCCUUUGUCUAAGUAGUGCAAAAUCAUUCUUGUUGAGUAAUUGUGAUGGUAGCAUUGGAGGUCAAGUUGAAUUUGUUGAUUGCUCAAUGAGGUACGAACAAUACUCGUUCAGCUAAUAAACUAGAGCCUAAUCUUUUUGCCAUGAUCCACGAAGAUUCAGUCAUUUGUCACUCUGAUUGUCUUAUGAAGAGAUUCCUCAUUGAUUUUUGAUGUAUCCCUGAUUCCUAUCUCGUUUCGUUCAUCUUCGUUUCUUCCUUUUUCCGUUGUUUUGUUUAUUAGGAAAGGCAAGCACAAAAUAAAUGUGCACGACAGGGCAAUAGCGGAAGAAAAUCCAAGUAAAAAAUUUCCCUUCUAUUUGAACCAAGAGAAGACAAAAUAAUGCAAGAAAAACACUGUUUGGGGUCGCAAACAAAUCAAUCAAGCAAAUAAAAUAAAUACAAACACGAGACACCAUAUUUAACAUGGAAAACCUCUUCGGUGUGAAGAGUAAAAACCACAAGGCCAAAGCUCCACUAAAAUCAACAAGAGUUACAAAAGUGUUCUCCAAAAUGGUCACCAACAAAGUGUCAAACAAUGAGCAACACAACUACAAGAUAGCACCAAACACUAGAGAAAUAAAAGGAGCAAAAACACCAAAUAUGCAGCUACUGUUCACGAGCAAAAAUCUGGAGUUACAGGACUCCAAAACACCCUCUUUCAGUUCUCAAUCAAAGAUUAAGUUGGAAGGAACAAGCUGUACAAAAAGCAGCUCAAUCGGAUAAGAAACGAAGUUGGAAUCGCGAUUUGAAAUUGGCUGCAAGGGCUUGUGCGAAAAUCUGCACUCUCUCACUGUUGUCUCUAUAUGUCUACUCUCAAUCUCAUGUAAUUCUUCAAAAUAAGACCUAAAAAGAAAGUCUUACAUAUGCACCAUAAUAUUGGGCUUAUAGACAAAAGUGGGCUAAUCAAAUUUGAGCUAAAUUUAUCCACAUAGGAAGGGAAAAAGGCCCAAAACCCAACAUUGUUGUUGACUUGUUGUAUCUAUAUGUACUAGAUGGUGGGUGCCCGGGCGCGCACGGACCCAAUAUUUAUACAUCUCUGUGUGUAAAAAUUAUCUUGGAACGCAAAACAGAUGAGAUAGCAGCACCAAAACAAAUGGAUCUAAAUCAAUGAGCAUCAAAAGAACACCAGAGAACGGUAACAAAAAAAUUUAUGCUUUAUUUAGUAGUUAACAUGAACUACAUGCAGUAGGAUGAUAAACAUAGCAAAUAAAGAGGUCUAAAAUAUAUUGAAUAAAUUAAGAAUUUAAAAUGCAAUUAUAACAGUGCAACGAUGUUUGUUGAACAACAAACAUAGAAUCAAAGUUAGGAAACCUCUCAUUUUGAGAAAUUUAUAGAAUCUUUCUUAAAGUUCAGUUUUAAUAACAAAAUGGUUUAUCAAAAUUUUAUUGAUCAAGAUAUCAAAUCUCACCAUAGGAGCUAGGUCAUUCUCAUGUGAUAUUAUAAGAUUUUCAAUAGCUACAUAUUAAUUUAUCAGAAGCUCAACUAUCCAAAUGAAUUUUAAAAGAUGCAUUUCAUUUUUUACCGUUAAUUCUAUACUACCUUAAAAGCAUUAACUCCAAACUUGAAUGUUGAAUUACAAUAAUACCCCCAAUUAAAAAUACUCAAUUUAUUUAUUUAUUAAUUUAAAUAAGUUUAUUAUAUUGAAAGUAGAUACCUUUUCAAAUUAAAGGAUUGCGACUUUUUCAAUGAGUUGUGACUUUUUUUUUACGGGUUCUGACUUUUUCAAUGAGUUGUCACUUUUCCAAAGGGUUGUGAUUUUUUCGAAGGGCUGUGACUUUUCUAAAGGGUUGUGCCUUUUCUGAUGAGUUGUGCCUUUUUCAAAGGGUUGUGGCUUUGCUGAUAUGCAGUGACUUUUUUGAAAGGUUGUGACUUUUCGGAUAAGGCACAAUUAANNNNNNNNNNNNNNNNNNNNNNNNNNNNNNNNNNNNNNNNNNNNNNNNNNNNNNNNNNNNNNNNNNNNNNNNNNNNNNNNNNNNNNNNNNNNNNNNNNNNNNNNNNNNNNNNNNNNNNNNNNNNNNNNNNNNNNNNNNNNNNNNNNNNNNNNNNNNNNNNNNNNNNNNNNNNNNNNNNNNNNNNNNNNNNNNNNNNNNNNNNNNNNNNNNNNNNNNNNNNNNNNNNNNNNNNNNNNNNNNNNNNNNNNNNNNNNNNNNNNNNNNNNNNNNNNNNNNNNNNNNNNNNNNNNNNNNNNNNNNNNNNNNNNNNNNNNNNNNNNNNNNNNNNNNNNNNNNNNNNNNNNNNNNNNNNNNNNNNNNNNNNNNNNNNNNNNNNNNNNNNNNNNNNNNNNNNNNNNNNNNNNNNNNNNNNNNNNNNNNNNNNNNNNNNNNNNNNNNNNNNNNNNNNNNNNNNNNNNNNNNNNNNNNNNNNNNNNNNNNNNNNNNNNNNNNNNNNNNNNNNNNNNNNNNNNNNAAAAAAAAUAAUUAUUUUUUGAAAUAGCUAUAUGUGCCGUCCCGUUUAUCCCAUCCCGUUCCGUUCCGGUCCAUUCCGGUCCGUCCCGGUUCUAUCCCGGUAUAUAGUGGGACGGGACGGAACCGAGCCUCCAUCCCGGUAGUUCCGGUCCGGUUCAUCCCGGUACCGGUCAACAACCCGGUCAAACCGUCCCGUUCCGGUCCGGUUCCGGUUCGUUCCGGUCCGGUGGUCCCAUUCCGGUCCGGUGCCCAGCCUUAGGCACAAUUAACACCUAUUCAUACUACUAUUUGACAGUUAUAAAAAGAGGGGUUUCCUCGCACUUUUAAACUACAUUUUCUUUAAGUUCUCUACUCUUCUUUUUCUUAAAAAAUCUCAAGUGUUAUUUGCAAAAAUUGAUUAAGUUCAAAAUUCGAGGUACCUCAUAAGAAAAAGUUGGUGAAAAAAUUGUAGGAAUCAUUCAUCAAUUCACACUCGUAUUUUUUUCUUACCAUUUUCAUGAGUUCAGUGACGAAAAGUUGUGGGAGAGACAAAAUAUUAAACAGAUAUGAAAAAAGGCAUAUGAUUUGGGUAAGAUAUUUCUUCUUUGUUUUUUAUUUUCUAUUCUUUUCCCUCAAACGAAGGAGUUUCUUCCUAAUUUUUCUAAAACAAUGGGUAUCAACGUAGUCCAUUGAAUUAUUAGUUUUGAUAUUAAAUUCAUUAUUCAAAAAUAGAUUUUCACUUUUACUUAUAAUAUGAUAACAUAGUCAUGAUAAUAAUUAUUUUUAAUAGAUAUGUAUGUAAAAAUGAAAGGAGAAAGUAAAGUGUUGGUGGCAAGAGAUUUAAAUCAAAUGGAACACUAGAGUGAAUAUAGCAUGAACAUAUAUUUUUGUCUUCCUUCUUCAUUGACUAUGUAUUGUUCCAUAUAAUUUUUCUUUAUGUCACAAGAUGCACACUCCUUACUAGCUAUAUAAAAAUAGAUAAGAAAAUUGUGAUUGAUCAUUAAAUGAUCUUAUAUCAUAUUAAUGAUUCUAUAAAUAAUACUUUACAUUUUAUUCAUCUAUUGUUUUUUAUUAUUGAAAAUAUUAAAUAUUUAAUAUCAUGAUACAACUUCUAUAAGAUACUAAUACUUUCAUUAGACAACAACUAUAUGAUAUGUAUGCGGCAAAAAAAAGGAGAAGACUACAACUCCACAAAGAUAAGGUAGAAACUUAACGAAAUGAAAUAUUUUUCAUCAUAGGUGAUGUUAUUCAUGUAUUAAAAUUAAAUUAUUCUACUGAAGUAUAUAUAAUCAUCAUUCAUUAUAACAACCAAGUACACCUUUUUUGUAAAAUCACCUCUCUAUGAUAGUCUUACUCAAAUAUUAAUAGAGUAAUAAUAUUUUGUAAAAGAUAUGUUACAUAUAAAGAUAAAAUAUUGAAAUACUUAUGGUAAUCCUUAUUAGUGUCAUGCGCAUACUAAAGUACAAGUAUGAAUAUUUAAGACAAAAUCUGUACUUAAAUGGUGUACAUCAUUUAUGUUUAUAACCUCAAGAGGAAAGGGUAUUGGUGACAUUUUUUUAAUGAAUAUUUUUUUUCUAUUUUGUUGGUUAGAUUUGUUUACAAAAUUGAGUGAAGUAAUAAAUAAUAUUAUUAAAGAAAUGUCACUUUCUCCCAUAUUUAAACUUUGAAUGUAUUUUGAAAUGUUUUAAUGAUAACUAUAAACACAAAUGUUGAUACCCUAUUCUCACUCACUCUUCUACUAUGGUAGAAAUAGAAUGUAUAUAUUUUUUUUACUUUUGUGUUGCAAAUAAUUGAGUUUAGUUCUUUAAUGUCCUUUUGUUUAAAUAGUUGAAUUAUGAGCAAUUUUCUCUUUGGUUUUAUCUUUUUUCUCGUUGACUUAUGUGCGAUUUGCUCACUAUUUCUUUUUCCAAAAAUCUCUCCAUACUAAGCGAGUUUGAAAGUUUUUUUUUUUUUGUUAUUUUCGUUGUACACUGAGCGAGUUCUCAACUUCUUUUAUUAUAUGCCCUCAUAGUAACCCCGUCAUUAAUUGAAGUAGGAUAAACAUUUUCUAAUGAAGAAAAAUCAUUAUUAGGAAAAGAACGUGCUUUAAAAAAAAAAGAAGAGAGAAAUAAUAAACUUAAUUGGAAAAAAGACAGUUUUGACUUAUUAAGUAACAAUAACAACAUUUAUAGAUCAAACUAUUGAAGACAAUGAUAUUUUUGGAUCAAACUAUCCACUAAGAAUAUUUUUAUUCAUUUUACAUGAUUUAAGAAUAUUAUAAACCCUUUUUCCGUUAAUUAAAUCAUCACAAAAUCCAAAAAAAAAAAAAAAAAGUUGUUUUCCAACACAUGUUUCCACACACUAAGAAAAGCCAAAAACAGAAAGAAAUUAAACAUUGAAAAACGAAAACAUAAGAAAAAACAGCAACCUUGAUUGAUGGUUGGAGAAGGCAAGUUGAUGAAGUAAGAGCUUCUUCUCUGUUGAUUUAACACAAAUAUUAUUUAUUUAUAUUUAUAUAAAAGAGGAACAAAAAAAUACUACUAAAUUGUGGACAAGAGAGUAUUUUUAAUAUCAUUUUUUUAACAUAUAAAUAAAGCAUCGUCUUAAAUGUGGAUAAGCAAGAGAACAUACAGUAGACCAAUUAUGUUCAAACCAAUUACAAAGCUUAAAACAAUAAUAAAGAAAUGAAACACUAAAACCACUCAAUUAAUAACCAAUGUGCUUGGCAGAAAUGCCAUGCCCCCAUCAAUACCUCUACGAUUAUGAAGACAUCAUAUAUAUAUAUAUAUAUAUAUGCUUGAAAAGCUUCACCACAUAUAAUUCCUCUUCAACAGCUCCACGUCUUUCAUUCUCUCUGGAAUCUCCUUUAAAUUUGGACAGUCAUGGAUACCAAGACCUUUAAUCAGAGGCAUUGCACUUGUGCCUAAAUCCCAUCUUUCUAGCUUUGAAAGAUCAUAAAGAUGAAGGAACUCUAGUUGACUGAAGCUGUUAUCACUGCACAUUAUUUCUUUUCCUUCAUAAGCUCCAACCAAAUGGAGAUUCCUUAGGUUUGGCAACAUUCCCAAAAUAGGCAUCGGAUCUUCCGUCAGUUUUGAGUUCUCAAGAAGCAUCAUUGUGAUGGAAUUUGGAAACAGAGGCAGUUUCCCUAUUCUCCCUUCUAACCUCAAUUUCUGGAGCUUUUCACAACAAUUAACAAAUUCAAGAGAUGGGAAUGAUUCAGUUUCUCCACAAAUCAAUUUGAGAGUGCUAAGGUUUUUCAAGCUGCUAAUGUUGUUUAGGGAGUAAGUUUUGCUAGUAUGAAACAUGCUUAAUUCUCGAAGAUUGACUAAAUCAACAGGAUCAACAUCUUUCCAUUGAUCACAACAAACUCUUUCAAGAACUUGAAGACUAGUGAGUUUGCUUAUAUGUGCCAGAGGUUUUGAAUACCAAACAACUAAAUGUCUUAGAUUUAUCAGGUUAGCUGUCUCGCGGGGUAGUUUGCAGGAGUAGUAUCCCCCCUCAUUGACAACAAGUGUCUGUAGAUUCUUGAGGUUGCCAAUGGAAGAUGGAAGAUCACGGUUAGCUCUCAAGCUUAAGAACUUAAGGUGGUACAAACUUCCUAUGGCAUCAGGUAUAGCACCACAGCCUUUAAUAUGCAAGUACAACACAUAUAUAUGUCGAAACACAUCUAUAUGUUGGAACACAUUACGAAAAUCCUGAUUGAAGAACAUAAUUGACCUCAACUUCAAAUUAGAAAGAUCAAGUAAGUGAUACAUUUCUCCUUGACCAUGAAAGGCAAGUCUGAUACAUGAAGAGGAUUUGGAGUGCUUUCUUGGAUGAUAAAUGUCAAAGAGGUUUGUGUCGGAUGCCUUUUGUAUGGCAAGAUCACGGAGUAAAUCAUGAACCCUACAUUCAGUAACUUUUUCCCAAAACGUAUUAGCCACUUGAACCAAGCUUCGUCUUAUCAGCUCAUUCAAGAAGCCUUCAGCCACAUCCUCCAUUCUUUCUUCUCCAUUUGGUAUGAAACCCUCGGCCAUCCACAACAGUAUUAUCUUUUCAGCAUCGACCUCUUGAUCUUCUGGAAAAAUACCAAAGUACAGAAAACACUGCUUGAGCACAGUUGACAAAAUCAUUGUAGCUUAAGGAUAGAAUGCAGGAGAUUUCAAUAAAUUUAUCUUCAAUAAUGUUCUUCCAAAGUUGAUCUUUCACUUCUUGCCAUUUGUCCACCCCCCCUCUAUGCGAAAGUAGUCCACUCAAUACAACAAUUGCAAGAGGUAAGCCUCUACACUUUUCCACCAUAUCCUUAGCUAGACUUUCCAUUGCUGGAACCAUUGCUCGAACAUCAAGUAGUUUCCUACAAAAGAGAUCCCAACUUUCUUCUUGGCUUAGGAAACGAAGUUCAUGGCCAAAACCUCUGUCGUCUGCUCUUUCAGCGACAUCCACUUUGCGCGUGGUAAUAAUAACUCUGCUGCCAUUCUUGCUAUCCGGGAAUGCUCUUUUCAAACUUUCCCAUGCUUCUCUCUGCCAUACAUCAUCAACCACCACAAGGUAUUUGUGUUCUUUCAAUAGAUCACGAAGGUGAACUUCUAGAUCUCCUUCUGUCAUAGUUUCUAACAAUCCUAGAGUUCCCUUGGUGCGACCUUGGAUGGAUUUUAUGAUAGUCUUAAGAAGAUCCAUUAUGUUGUACUCUUGAGAAACACAUAUCCAAGCGCGUGUAGGGAAGCUUGAGAUUAUAUUAGGACUGGUGUAGAGGUUUCUUGCAAGAGUGGUCUUGCCUAAUCCGCCCAUGCCAUAAAUGGAGAGGACGCUUCGACGAGGCUCUGCUUUGAGAAGUUGAGCUAGCAAUGUUUGUACAACAUCCUGAAGUCCAACAAAAAUGUAAUCCUGGUCAUCCACAUAUGAGGUAGUUCUCCUCAAUGUUCUAACCUGAUUACUUGGCCCUUCUCCAGCAUUACUAUUGAUAUUUGUAAUCCCAUAAGUCUCUCGCUUGCGAGAGAUAUCUAUGAUUCGCUGCUUGAGUGAUUGAAUCUCCUCGGCGACAUUGUAGAAUUUCUUCUCUUUCCUACAUAUGCAAGCGCAAGCCUUGAGACGACUAGCAAAUUCAUGGUCAUCACCUUUAUCAACCUCAAAGCUGUAAGUCUCGAGUAUUGCGACAGCAUCAUUCGCAACAGAAUUGAUUUCAAACACCCAUUGUUGAACUCUAUGAUCUACACAUUGCUUUAGUUCUGCAUCUUUGAGGAAAGACUGUAUGAAGAGUAGCUCAUUUCUCAGCCACUCAAUUUCCUUUCUCAGAUUUUUACGCAGGGAAACUUGUUGUAUGAGGAAAUCACCCAAUUUUUGAACUGCAAAUGACAGAAAGGCAUCAGCCAUCUUCAGGAAUACUACUUCUGAUUGAAAUACAAGUUGGAAAAUGGGAGAUAGAGAUCAAAAGCAAUAAGAGGGGACUGUAUAUUGGAAUACAAGUUGGAAAAUGGGAGAUAGACAUAAAAGUAAGAACAAAUAAUGUGUUCAAUUAAGGGUCCACUUAUCACUUAUGUGAUUAAAGUUUAGAAAAAAACGAAACAUGACCAUUUGGUUUCUGAUAAAAGGACAAAGAUGUAUUAAACAAAAGGUAAAAAAAAAUUUAAAUAAAGCAUCUUCAACAACCAUUAUACAACUUGGGGAAAAACACAUAUAGAGAAAAGUCUUACAAAAUUAAAGCAACUUCAACAAUCAUUGCACAACUUGUGGAAUAUAUGUAUUGAGAAAAGAUUAAAAAAAUUGAAGCAUCUUCAACAAUCACUACACAACUUGUGGAAAAAAAAUAUUUGUUUUUGUUUGUUCAUAAUAAUAAUUUUAUUUUAUUCUUUUUGCUUGUUACAAUGAAAUAAUUUAGGAUUUCGCUAUCUAAUGCGGCGAUUAAAUAUGAUGAUUCAUGAUUGUUGUGGUAAUGGUUGUUAGUGGUAUUAAAUAUCUAGUAAUUCUGUUUUAUCCCGCAACCUACUUUUCGUGUAGUUCCUCUUUCAAAUUACUGAUGUGUGACAGUAUGUAAAUAACGGGAAACAAUACAAUCUAGUUAUAUCUAAUACAGUUAAACAAAGAGAACUGGAAAAUAUGAGUAAUUUAGCACACAGUAACUUAUAAAGGCUAAAAUCCCCGAGUGCUUGAUUACAAGAGAUGAAUGAAAACAAGAAGGAAUUUCAACAGGUUCCUGUUUUCCACUAUGAUGGCAUGUGUUCUCUUCUCCCUCUUGUUUUUAUUUGUUUCUCCUUCAUAUGGGAUUCUUUUUCCUUUUUGUCUAAUCCGUUUUCAACCCGCUCAUAUUCAAUCCAACCUGCCCAUUUUAAGUCGCCGUACAAGACCUUGUACACUAGAAAUGUUCACAAGAAAAUUGACUCAGCUGCCUCUUUUAGUCGGAUACUUAUGAAAGUUGCAUUGUCUCCUCUGAUGGAUUAUUUUCCCUUGCUUCUUGACCUUCAAGCUUCGAUGAGUUAGCGAUGGCUUCUGAUAUAGCCUUUGGUAGCCAAAAUCCAGGUCUUUCAAUAGAGGCUGCACGAUCAAGUACCAAUGGUUCACGCAAAGUGAUCUGAAUGCCAUCAUAUGUCCACAACACUAAAUCUGCUUCGCCUUUCAAACCUAGGGAGAACCAUCCUAAGCCAGCAACCGCAACAUCCAUGCUCUUGACAUCCCAGCUCGUUCCACGUGCUUUUACUUCCC